AAUCAAGUUGAGCGGGUCUGCAUCGUUAUUUUGACGAAGUUUGAAACCAGUGAUAAUUUUUUGACACUUCAUCUAGAUUUAAGAAGAUUCUUGCCUUGACAACUGCUCGAACUCCCGGGUUGGCAUGCUCUAAAGGUAUAGUGAAUUCAGUAUGCAGAUUGUUGAAGAGAAAACAUCAAGAGGGGGCGAGGAAGACAACAAAACAUGAUUACCCAGAUUGAGGAUCCCAGUGUUCUUUGUCUCAAGCUACUCAGCCUACCAUGAGAAAAUUAAAAGAUCUGUCAUGAAGAAGAGGCGGGUUCUCACCUUUCGUAUUAUAAAUGGCAAGUAUUGUUUAGAACUAAUUUUAGAUUAUUCUUGAUAAAAAAUAACAUAAGGGUGUUUAUCAAUUCAUAGCUAUUAUUUGUGAUUGCAUUGUGUAUUAAUUUUCAACAUCAAUUCAUUCUUUGGUGACCAAGUGCAGCGGUUUGCUUCAAACUCAUAAUUUUUUAUAAAAAUAUUGACUAUAUUUGUCCAUAUGUAUAAAAUUUUAAUCACGGUAUGAAUUCUAUUUCAGCAUGAUUGUCAUCUUCAAUUUGAGCGACUCUCACCUAAAGUCCUUUUACGGUUCCAUAUCAGGAAAAAGUUCAUGAGUUGAAACAUGCGAUUGGGGAAAAAGGAAAAGCAUUAGGAAAAUGCCUGCAUGGGGAGAAAAGUUUUGAACUCUGAAAAGGGAGGUGUGACAAAAACAUUUUGACAGUUGUUGAUUUCCACUAAAACCAAUAUCCACAAGAAAGAAGACAUAGUUUUAUGUUGAUUCACAACUUUAAAUUCAAGAAUGUACAGUUGGUUUUAUUAUAAAACAUGUCACAUACUAAAAAUGUACUCUGUCUUUGAUAUGUAUGUAAUUUGCAGGAUAGGAUGUGGGCAACAUAUACUGCCAAGAAUCUUGAUGAUUUUGAUCUUAUGUUUGUAAAAAAAAUGCUUUGUAUUGUAAUAAACAAAGUUAAAGUCAGCUUUUUGUUAAUUUGUAUAUUAAUUAUGAUGUUUACAUUUCCGCAACUUAUCAAUUUGGAAGAAAAAACUUAUUUAUAAUUUGAAUAAGACUUCAUUCACUGGAAUGGAAAACGG